GUGAAUCUUCAAAAGUCGGCUUGUCGGAUUGUGCUGGUGGAGACACAUGUGCACGUCUGCGAGUCGCAAACCCACACACCUGUGCAUCUAUGACUCUGAGUGCCGCUUUGCAUGGCCUUGACCGGCCUGGCGCUCGAGUACUUUUUCAUACACACUUGAAAGUAACGGAAUGUCUUGUCAUGCUUAAUGUACAAAUUGAAA
rnacentral:misc_RNA from 1 species